AUCCAACUGAUGAGUCCCGAAUAGGACGAAAAGGGCAUCCUGGAU
rnacentral:hammerhead_ribozyme from 1 species